rnacentral:rRNA from 1 species
GUCUGACGGAGCAACGCCGCGUGAGUGAUGAAGGUUUUCGGAUCGUAAAGCUCUGUUGUUAGGGAAGAACAAGUACCGUUCGAAUAGGGCGGUACCUUGACGGUACCUAACCAGAAAGCCACGGCUAACUACGUGCCAGCAGCCGCGGUAAUACGUAGGUGGCAAGCGUUGUCCGGAAUUAUUGGGCGUAAAGGGCUCGCAGGCGGUUUCUUAAGUCUGAUGUGAAAGCCCCCGGCUCAACCGGGGAGGGUCAUUGGAAACUGGGGAACUUGAGUGCAGAAGAGGAGAGUGGAAUUCCACGUGUAGCGGUGAAAUGCGUAGAGAUGUGGAGGAACACCAGUGGCGAAGGCGACUCUCUGGUCUGUAACUGACGCUGAAGAGCGAAAGCGUGGGGAGCGAACAGGAUUAGAUACCCUGGUAGUCCACGCCGUAAACGAUGAGUGCUAAGUGUUAGGGGGUUUCCGCCCCUUAGUGCUGCAGCUAACGCAUUAAGCACUCCGCCUGGGGAGUACGGUCGCAAGACUGAAACUCAAAGGAAUUGACGGGGGCCCGCACAAGCGGUGGAGCAUGUGGUUUAAUUCGAAGCAACGCGAAGAACCUUACCAGGUCUU